UCCGGUUUGUCACCGGCAGUCUGGCGUGAGUCCCCAACUUAAUGCUGGCAACACGCCACGGGGGUUGCGCUCGUUGCGGGACUUAACCCAACAUCUCACGACACGAGCUGACGACAGCCAUGCACCACCUGUGACGGUGCCCCGAAGGGAAGCCCCGUUUCGGGGGCGGUCAUCACGGAUUUAGCCCGGGUAAGGUUCUUCGCGUUGCAUCGAAUUAAGCCACAUGCUCCACCGCUUGUGCGGGCCCCCGUCAAUUCCUUUGAGUUUCAUUCUUGCGAACGUACUCCCCAGGUGGUAUGCUUACUGCGUUAACUGCGUCACUGCCCCCGAAGGGACAACAACUAGCAUACAUCGUUUACGGCGUGGACUAC
rnacentral:misc_RNA from 1 species